UACGUAGGGUGCGAGCGUUAAUCGGAAUUACUGGGCGUAAAGCGUGCGCAGGCGGUUUUGUAAGCCGGAUGUGAAAUCCCCGGGCUUAACCUGGGAAUGGCAUUCGGGACUGCAAGGCUGGAGUGCGGUAGAGGAGACUGGAAUUCCUGGUGUAGCAGUGAAAUGCGUAGAUAUCAGGAGGAACACCGAUGGCGAAGGCAGGUCUCUGGGCUGACACUGACGCUCAUGCACGAAAGCGUGGGGAGCAAACAGG
rnacentral:rRNA from 1 species